GGUGUUGUGGUGUAAUGGUAGCACGUAACGUUGUGGAUUCACAGCGCCGUUCCAAUCCCGGUUCGAUUCCGGGCAACGCCA
rfam:Xylona heveae TC161 unplaced genomic scaffold L228scaffold_15, whole genome shotgun sequence.